GAAGAAGUGACCUGGAGACAGCGAAGAUGUGUUCUCUACCUGGCCAGCGUCAUGUUGCCUGUUUGCUUACUGCACGCAUGGUGACAAAACAGAAGCCUCCAUGUUGGAUAUGCCUGGGUCCUAGGUGUCAGGCCUCUGAGCCCAAGCUAAGCCAUCAUAUCCCCUGUGACCUGCACGUAUACAUCCAGAUGGCCUGAAGCAACUGAAGAUCCACAAAAGAAGGGAAAAUAGCCUUAACUGAUGACAUUCCACCGUUGUGAUUUGUUUCUGCCCCACCCUAACUGAUCAGCGUACUUUGUAAUCUCCCCCACCCUUAAGAAGGUUCUUUAUAAUUCUCCCCACCCUUGAGAAUGUACUUUGUGAGAUCCACCCCCUGCCUGCAAAACAUUGCUCCUA
rnacentral:lncRNA from 1 species